CAUAUGUAUGUCAUGUUAUUCCACCUGGUAACCCUAUCUUUCUUUUCAUCAAAAGUAUUGUUACACGUUUUUCAAUUAGAUGAGUCAAUGUUGGGAAGAUUUCUUUAUUAAUUUCCCUUUAUCCCAUAGUUACAUAUUCGAUCGAACAAUCAACGAAAGGCCUGGGUCUCAGAUUAUUUUUAUAUUUCCUAUACUCACUACUAGUGCGAGAGAGACAUACCUACAAGACUUUACAUGAAUAAGAGAAAGACAACGAUAACAAAAUAUGUCUCAAGUUAAACGAUCCUCUUUCUGGUGGAAUUUUUAAUUUCCGUAACUUAUAGCUCUAUUACCCGGGAAGAAAAUAAAUCUUAAAACGUUUAAAAGAAAAUGUUUCCACGUACGUAGAUUGAGAAUGGUAUUCUCACGUGGCAAUACUUUGCUAACUUUGUUACUUUCUUUAGCUCAUUCUUCAUCUUUGUUUAUGAAGAUUUAUGACCAAGCAUUACGGAUUACGAAGUGCCCCUGCUUUUCGGCCCUCGAAAAGUUUCAUAUCUCUUUUCUGUACUCUCUUACCUUUUUACAGAGGGUUAUCAAGGAAGACUACAGUAGCAUUAUUGUCCCUCAUUUCAUUUGACAUUCAAAUAAAACAUCGGAGCUCGCAGGUUAGCACAGGGAUCUACAGUAUCAUCCUAUCUUGGUGAAACAGAACUACCUCGAUUUCUUUGUAGUACGGUGGCGCGACACAAAGAAAGGUAAGCAAAAAUAGAGUAACUUUAGUCUUAUAAUUGAAAAGUCAUGGUAAUAUUACUGUAUACAUUAAACACCGUAAAAAAUGUUACUCUCCGUCGCGUUAUCUUUACGUAUAAUUAAUAUGUUUUGUACUUCGUAUUUGCUCAUAUUCAUUCUUAAUAACCAUCCUUGGCUUUGUACAACCGGUCAUUUCUGGUUGGGUCUGUUUGAUUUCACUUUGAAAUUGUACAUCAUCAGCUAUUCAUUUCAUGAAUUAAUUAACACAGCUCUUGUUUCUCUUGGCUAAGGCAGACAAAGUAACACUCCAUAUUACAUUAGAUAUGGACAAACUAGAUACAAUCUAACUAGCAUAUAAAACUUGUUUUUUUUUUUUUCAUUUAAAGGUGUCUUGUACAAAUUUAAAAUUUUUCAUUUCCUUCUCAUUCUUCCCAUUUUAUUAUCCUGCAUUUUAUAACAGCUAAGUGGUUGGUUUUCUUAUACAGGUACGUCUAAAUAUUUCAAAAUUCAUUAUUAACCCCCGAAACUUUUGUUACAGCAGAUCUACAUUAAAUCAGCUUUCCACUGUAAUUCCAGUGAAAUAAUGUGCUCGAUAUUUUCCAGGUAGCCAAAGGACGGCUGCUGAUUUUCUCUCGGAGGAAAUAGAAAGAGAGGGAUUUCGGUAGCGAGUCGUGACGUCAGUUAAUACAAGUUUGAAAAUUGACGCGGAGUCUUCUGACGUGACAGCAAGAUUUGAAGUCCUGAAAAUUUAGAGGUCAGAGGAUAAUCCGGAUCGCGUCUAAAUAAAUUAGUCCGUGGAAUCAGUGCGAAUAGCGAUGGAAAUUGAGUUUGUACUUACAUUCAACUUUCACAGAGUCGGGAAGACCUUCCCAGUGAUCCUUCCCGUUACGAUUUAAGUUUCGGGAGGCCUGGGCAUCGGGGGGCUGAGUUCAGAAUAAAUAAAUUAUCAGGGGCGAAACAGCAGAGGCACUUUUAACAAUGUGUCUUCGUUUAAAAAAGAAGAGGUGCUGCGUAGGGUUAGGGAUGCAAUUAGGUGGGUCCUCCCAUUAUUACAUCCCCAGAGAGCUGAUUUACUCUCCUUCUUCUUCGUUCAGGAUAAAAAAGGAAGACGCUUAUUCCUUCAGGACAAAACACAAGGUAAGAACGCCCACUUAUAUUCUUAGCGUGAAUCGAUGCAUCUGCCAUUCCUUUAAGACAAUAUAAGCACGUGCUGAAAAUUACUAGAUGGUAAAAAUAAUUUCAAAAAUAUUAACUAUGACGUACGCAGUUUGUUCUUAAAAACUGUCAUGGCGGCUGGUUAACGACAUAAUAAGCAUUGAAUGAAUUUAUUACAGACAGGCUGCAUCGAGCUGUCUGACACGAAAGUUAAAUAAAUCAUAUUCUGUUUGCCUUUAUUCCUGUCGGACCUGCUGAUUUACCGCUUCAACUUUAAUAUCGAAGUAUCGGCGUGUUUUAAUAUGCCUGCCACGUUGUUUAUACUUCAACGUCUCGCAGGGACGUGUCGAUUAUGCACGGCGAAACCAUUAUCGAAUGGGUUGAAGAAUUAAGCAUCGCAGACCCUCGGAGCUAUCCAAUCGAAACGCACUCCCUUAGAAUCCGUAAGGUAAACAGAAAAGGGAGUCAGAGGGCUCUUGAAACAAUGCCAGGAAAGUGCUCCUUGUUUUUAAAGUCUUAAAGCGCAGUAGAUAAGUAUACAUAUACACACAGGUUAUACCUCCACUACCCGAUCCUAGCCAACUUUCAUCCCUUAUACGUCCGUACUUCCUCACAUUCCCUCGUACCCUCUUCAUCCCUUCUUCAGUUCGCCCUAUUCUCUUGUCCCUUGAAUACGUCAACUUGGACCCUUCUCCAUAUUUACCGUCCUGUUGGUAAACCUACGUGUACGUGGAUAGAGAGAACAUGCUUGACAGAUAUAGAUAUAGGUUAGAAUGACGCAACAGCAGGAGGACGUAACUGUAACCAUGCUUGUGACAUAUUUUCCCAGCAAUCCCAUUAAACAAAAUAUAUAUUCUUCCUCAAUGGCCGCGUUAACGGGCUUUUACACGAAAAUUACCUACAGCCUGGGGUGUAGCGUUACAUGGAUAUUACGAUCGUUGAGAUUGUACAGUAAGGCAUUUUUUUAAUGUCAAAAAAUAUGUCCAAUAAAAUUUUCGUCGUGUGUUCCUAAAUGAGAGAACUGUGUUUAAAGGGCUUUGAAUUAUUUACGCUUUCUAUGCUUUUAUCCUCUAUUCGAAAUGGAUGCC